rnacentral:lncRNA from 1 species
GAGGGAUUUGACAAUUUGGAAAUGCUGCACCAGUUUUUUUUUUGUUCUUUUGUAGAUGUCUCAACACACCAGUGUCGGAAAUUACAAGCCGGGUAUAAAGAAUAAGCAUGCCAUUGGUGAUUCCAGCUAGUUUGAAAUAACAAGACGUGAGUAUUGAAAUAUAUAUCAUUGUUUUUCCACAUUCAUGACAUUAAAAGUGUGCAAUAUUUUGUCACAAUUUCUUUUAUAUGUGCUCUAGCAUCUUUGUCUACUCAAAUCUAUAGGUUUUUUUAUUGAAGUUAUUAUAAAAUAUACUAUUUGAACUCAAGUAAAAAAAAAACAUGGUACCACUCAAAAGAUAUCUAAAGAAAUAAUAAUAGCAUUGCACUGUGAGUAUUUGUUCACAUAUGACACUGUUGUUCUUUAUUUUAGCUGCAUAACACAAGUAACCAAGUUAUGUUUAAGUUAUUACAACUUUUGUUGUUGUUGCAGAUGCUGUAGUUACCAGUUUCGAAUGUAUAAUGGAGACUACAAUAUGGAACAACAAUGCAAGAUGCAUAUAAUGUGACCCUGAAAUGUCUUGUAGUAUGCCUAGCAGAAGGACUAAAUUUUGAAGGACUAAAUUUUUUAAAAUAAAAUUAAGUAUUCAGAUUGUGUUUGUUUUAAAUUGUAAGAUACAUAUGUG